rnacentral:rRNA from 1 species
UAGACAUGCAAGUCGAGCGAACAGAAGGGAGCUUGCUCCCGGAUGUUAGCGGCGGACGGGUGAGUAACACGUGGGUAACCUGCCUGUAAGACUGGGAUAACUCCGGGAAACCGGAGCUAAUACCGGAUAGUUCCUUGAACCGCAUGGUUCAAGGAUGAAAGACGGUUUCGGCUGUCACUUACAGAUGGACCCGCGGCGCAUUAGCUAGUUGGUGGGGUAAUGGCUCACCAAGGCGACGAUGCGUAGCCGACCUGAGAGGGUGAUCGGCCACACUGGGACUGAGACACGGCCCAGACUCCUACGGGAGGCAGCAGUAGGGAAUCUUCCGCAAUGGACGAAAGUCUGACGGAGCAACGCCGCGUGAGUGAUGAAGGUUUUCGGAUCGUAAAGCUCUGUUGUUAGGGAAGAACAAGUGCGAGAGUAACUGCUCGCACCUUGACGGUACCUAACCAGAAAGCCACGGCUAACUACGUGCCAGCAGCCGCGGUAAUACGUAGGUGGCAAGCGUUGUCCGGAAUUAUUGGGCGUAAAGGGCUCGCAGGCGGUUUCUUAAGUCUGAUGUGAAAGCCCCCGGCUCAACCGGGGAGGGUCAUUGGAAACUGGGAAACUUGAGUGCAGAAGAGGAGAGUGGAAUUCCACGUGUAGCGGUGAAAUGCGUAGAGAUGUGGAGGAACACCAGUGGCGAAGGCGACUCUCUGGUCUGUAACUGACGCUGAGGAGCGAAAGCGUGGGGAGCGAACAGGAUUAGAUACCCUGGUAGUCCACGCCGUAAACGAUGAGUGCUAGUGGUUUAGGGGGUUUCCGCCCCUUAGUGCUGCAGCUAACGCAUUAAGCACUCCGCCCGGGGGGAGUACGGUCGCAAGACUGAAACUCAAAGGAAUUGACGGGGGCCCGCACAAGCGGUGGGAA